AUAAAAUUAAAAAUAGUAACCUAAAGACUCAAGAUUCUAGAAUAUAUAGAUCUAAUCUACCUUUGAAUUUAAGAUGUCUCUUUUGCUAAUGUACUACUUAAGCGACGAAGGGGAUCGUGUUUAUACACUAAAAAAAACUGACCCUGAAGGAAAACCGACAGUAUCAGCACAUCCUGCUCGGUUCUCACCUGAGGACAAGUAUUCUCGACAUCGAAUUAUUGUGAAGAAAAGAUUUGGUCUUCUGCCUACUCAGCAUCCCAAGCCUGUACUCUGAUAUUAAGCUGAUUUGUUCAUUGUUGUAUACUAACAUGUAAAUACUGAGACAUCUUUGUUAUUAUAUUUGAAAAAAGUCAUUUUCAGCAGUUAUAAAUAUGUAUGCAUUAAAAUGGCUUGACUUGUUUGGAUGCUUCAAGUAAAUAAAAAAAAUACUGUACCGGUAUUUAAAAAAAAA
rnacentral:sRNA from 1 species